rnacentral:rRNA from 1 species
GACGUAGGGGGCGAGCGUUUGUCCGGAUUUAUUGGGCGUAAAGCGUGCGCAGGCGGCUUCUCAAGUCAGGGGUGAAAGCCCAGAGCUCAACUCGUGGAAUUGCCUUUGAGACUGAGUGGCUUGAGUACGAGAGAGGUGAGUGGAAUUCCCAGUGUAGAGGUGAAAUUCGUAGAUAUUGGGAAGAACACCGGUGGCGAAGGCGGCUCACUGGCUCGGUAACUGACGCUCAUGCACGACAGCGUGGGGAUCAAACAGG